UACGUAGGGUGCAAGCGUUGUCCGGAAUUAUUGGGCGUAAAGAGCUCGUAGGCGGUCUGUUGCGUCGGCUGUGAAACCCGGGGCUCAACUCCGGGCCUGCAGCCGAUACGGGCAGACUAGAGUUCGGCAGGGGAGACUGGAAUUCCUGGUGUAGCGGUGAAAUGCGCAGAUAUCAGGAGGAACACCGGUGGCGAAGGCGGGUCUCUGGGCCGAUACUGACGCUGAGGAGCGAAAGCGUGGGGAGCGAACAGG
rnacentral:rRNA from 1 species